ACAGCAGCCGCCGCGGUAAUACGUAGGUGGCAAGCGUUGUCCGGAAUUAUUGGGCGUAAAGGGCUCGCAGGCGGUUUCUUAAGUCUGAUGUGAAAGCCCCCGGCUCGACCGGGGAGGGUCAUUGGAAACUGGGAAACUUGAGUGCAGAAGAGGAGAGUGGAAUUCCACGUGUAGCGGUGAAAUGCGUUGAGAUGUGGAGGAGCACCAGUGGCGAAGGCGACUCUCUGGUCUGUAACUGACGCUGAGGAGCGAAAGCGUGGGGAGCGAACAGGAUUAGAUACCCCCGUAGUCCCUGUCUCUUAUAC
rnacentral:rRNA from 1 species